rnacentral:rRNA from 1 species
AUUGAACGCUGGCGGCAGGCCUAACACAUGCAAGUCGAACGAGUGGCGGACGGGUGAGUAAUGUCUGGGAAACUGCCUGAUGGAGGGGGAUAACUACUGGAAACGGUAGCUUAUACCGCAUACCCUCGGAUGUGCCCAGAUGGGAUUGGCGAGUAGGUGGGGUAACGGCUCACCUAGGCGACGCGCCCUCGCUGGUCUGAGAGGAUGACCAGCCCAACUGGAACUGAGACACGGUCCAGACUCCUACGGUAGGCAGAAGUGGGGAAUAUUGCACAAUGGGCGCAAGCCUGAUGCAGCCAUGCCGCGUGUAUGAAGAAGGCCUUCGGGUUGUAAAGUACUUUCAGCGGGGAGGCGUUACCCGCAGAAGAAGCACCGGCUAACUCCGUGCCAGCAGCCGCGGUAAUUC